AGUGGGGAAUAUUGGACAAUGGGCGAAAGCCUGAUCCAGCCAUGCCGCGUGUGUGAAGAAGGCCUUCGGGUUGUAAAGCACUUUCAAUAGGGAGGAAAGGUUGUAGCUUAAUACGCUGCAACUGUGACGUUACCUAUAGAAGAAGCACCGGCUAACUCCGUGCCAGCAGCCGCGGUAAUACGGAGGGUGCGAGCGUUAAUCGGAAUUACUGGGCGUAAAGCGCGCGUAGGUGGUUCGUUAAGUUGGAUGUGAAAUCCCCGGGCUCAACCUGGGAACUGCA
rnacentral:rRNA from 1 species